rnacentral:tRNA from 1 species
GAGGGUAUAGCUAAGUGGUAAAGUGCAUGCUUAGCAUGUACAAGAUCCUGGGUUCAAUCCCCAGUACCUCCA